ACUAGAGUAGCACUCGCAUAUCAAUAAGCGGAGGAAAAGAAACUAACAAGGAUUCCCCUAGUAGCGGCGAGUGAAGCGGGAAGAGCUCAAAUUUGAAAUCUUAAAGGGUUUCCCUUUACGAAUUGUAGUUUAAAGAAGUGUUUUCUGUUGAGGUUUUGGUAAAAGUUCUUUGGAAUAGGACGUCAUAGAGGGUGAGAAUCCCGUAUUUGACCUUUACCUUUCAACUUUGUGAUACACUUUCAAAGAGUCGGAUUGUUUGGGAAUGCAGUCCAAAAUGGGUGGUAAAUUUCAUCUAAAGCUAAAUAUUGGCGAGAGACCGAUAGCGAACAAGUACCGUGAGGGAAAGAUGAAAAGAACUUUGAAAAGAGAGUUAAACAGUACGUGAAAUUGUCAAAAGGGAAGCGUUUGACACCAGUGUUGUUUUUCUGAAAAUCAAUUAAAGAACUGUUUAUGCUAAGCUGUUUAGACUUUAUCAGCUAAUCUGUUUAGUUUUGAGCUUUUCUUUAAUGCACUUUUCAGUUAACAAGUCAACAUCAAUUUCUUUUGCUGUAAAAAAGCUUGAGGAAGGUGGCUUGAGAUUCGUCUUAAGUGUUUAUAGCCUCUUGCCUAUGCAGUCGGAGAGAUUGAGGUCUGUAGCGUAGAUCCUUCGGGGCUAAAUGCAUUUGUGCUAAGUUAUAGCAUUUUAUAGACAACUUGUUGACUAUGAUUUGUCUUGUAGCUUACUCGCUUAUGUUAUUUUACCUACGCUUAGGAUGUUGAUCUCUCACAGUCGAGC
rnacentral:rRNA from 1 species